rnacentral:lncRNA from 1 species
GUUGGAGUCAGAUGUUAAUUACCACAACCCUCUUUGAACAUGCAUUGCUACUGUACCUUCCUGGCAGCAGUGAUUUUGCCUGACUUCUGUGAUGGCUUGACUUGGUGACUCUUCAGAGGUAGACAACUGUGUAUGCUGGUGGCCUUCCCCUGCAGGAGUGGAAGGGGAGGAAGAAGACGGGAACAGGGCUGCUAAGGAGACACAGGAAGGUGCCAGGCUCUUUCUCAGGUUCCAUGUUGGCAUGCUUCAGCACACAGAAAGGGGAAAACCAGCAGCACACUCUCCCUCACCUUAUUGUCACCAGAUGUCCUCUGCAGAUGCAUCAGAUGUCCUGCUCAGCCACUUAACAGAAGGCUUCUGGGGGUUACCAUGGUCUGGUUUUCAAGGUGGCGAGAUGCUUAUACCCUGAAGUGUUCAAGCUCCAGAGCACCCAUCACUCCUACUGUCAUCUCCAGGAACCACAUGUACUUCACACCUUGAAAAGGUAAGAUCCUGGUGCCUCCCAAAACAUGGGCAAAAUGACAUCCUGCCUCAGUGGCU